rnacentral:rRNA from 1 species
AAUUCGAUUGAGUUUGAUCAUGGCUCAGGACGAACGCUGGCGGCGUGCUUAACACAUGCAAGUCGAGCGAGAUUCAACCGGUGGCAACACCGGGGAAGAUCGAGCGGCGAACGGGUGAGUAACACGUGAGCAACCUGCCCCGAAGACUGGGAUAACACCGGGAAACCGGUGCUAAUACCGGAUACCCCCACCAGGCCGCAUGACCAGGUGAGGAAAUGCCUGCAUCUAAUAAAUGCAGCACGCUUCGGGAGGGGCUCGCGGGCUAUCAGCUUGUUGGUGGGGUAACGGCCUACCAAGGCGACGACGGCUAGCUGGUCUGAGAGGACGACCAGCCACACUGGGACUGAGACACGGCCCAGACUCCUACGGGAGGCAGCAGUGGGGAAUCUUGCGCAAUGGGCGAAAGCCUGACGCAGCAACGCCGCGUAGGGGAUGAAGGCCUUCGGGUCGUAAACCCCUUUCAGCAGGGACGAAACUGACGGUACCUGCAGAAGAAGCCCCGGCCAACUACGUGCCAGCAGCCGCGGUAAUACGUAGGGGGCGAGCGUUGUCCGGAUUCAUUGGGCGUAAAGAGCUCGUAGGCGGUUUGAUAAGUCGGGUGUGAAAUCUCCAGGCUCAACCUGGAGAGGUCACUCGAGACUGUUAUGACUAGAGUCUGGUAGGGGACCACGGAAUUCCUGGUGUAGCGG